rnacentral:rRNA from 1 species
UUCGCCCUUAGAGUUUGAUCCUGGCUCAGGACGAACGCUGGCGGCGCGCCUAACACAUGCAAGUCGAACGGAGCUUAGAGAGCUUGCUUUUUAAGCUUAGUGGCGAACGGGUGAGUAACGCGUGAGUAACCUGCCCUAGAGUGGGGGACAACAGUUGGAAACGACUGCUAAUACCGCAUAAGCCCACGGUGCCGCAUGACACUGAGGGAAAAGGAUUUAUUCGCUUUAGGAUGGACUCGCGUCCAAUUAGCUAGUUGGUGAGGUAACGGCCCACCAAGGCGACGAUUGGUAGCCGGACUGAGAGGUUGAACGGCCACAUUGGGACUGAGACACGGCCCAGACUCCUACGGGAGGCAGCAGUGGGGGAUAUUGCACAAUGGGGGAAACCCUGAUGCAGCGACGCCGCGUGGAGGAAGAAGGUUUUCGGAUUGUAAACUCCUGUCGUUAGGGACGAUAAUGACGGUACCUAACAAGAAAGCACCGGCUAACUACGUGCCAGCAGCCGCGGUAAAACGUAGGGUGCAAGCGUUGUCCGGAAUUACUGGGUGUAAAGGGAGCGCAGGCGGGAAGACAAGUUGGAAGUGAAAACCAUGGGCUCAACCCAUGAAUUGCUUUCAAAACUGUUUUUCUUGAGUAGUGCAGAGGUAGAUGGAAUUCCCGGUGUAGCGGUGGAAUGCGUAGAUAUCGGGAGGAACACCAGUGGCGAAGGCGGUCUACUGGGCACCAACUGACGUUGAGGCUCGUAAGCAUGGGGUAGCAAACAAGGAUUUAGAUACCCUGGUAGUCCAUGCCGUUAACGAUGAUUACUAGGUGUUGGGGGAUUGACCCCCUCAGUGCCGCAGUUAACACAAUAUGUAAUCCACCUGGGGAGUACGACCGCAAGGUUGAAACUCAAAGGAAUUGACGGGGGCCCGCACAAGCAGUGGAGUAUGUGGUUUAAUUCGAAGCAACGCGAAGAACCUUACCAGGUCUUGACAUCCGAUGCAUAGCACAGAGAUGUGUGAAAUCCUUCGGGACAUCGAGACAGGUGGUGCAUGGUUGUCGUCAGCUCGUGUCGUGAGAUGUUGGGUUAAGUCCCGCAACGAGCGCAACCCUUAUUGCCAGUUACUACGUUAAGAGGACUCUGGCGAGACUGCCGUUGACAAAACGGAGGAAGGUGGGGAUGACGUCAAAUCAUCAUGCCCUUUAUGACCUGGGCUACACACGUACUACAAUGGCGUUAAACAAAGAGAAGCAAGACCGCGAGGUGGAGCAAAACUCAAAAACAACGUCUCAGUUCAGAUUGCAGGCUGCAACUCCCCUGCAUGAAGUCGGAAUUGCUAGUAAUUGCGGAUCAGCAUGCCGCGGUGAAUACGUUCCCGGGCCUUGCACUCACCGCCCGUCA